CCUACGGGACGCUGCAGUGGGGAAUAUUGGACAAUGGGCGAAAGCCUGAUCCAGCCAUGCCGCGUGUGUGAAGAAGGCCUUCGGGUUGUAAAGCACUUUCAGUGGGGAAGAAAGCCUUGGGGCUAAUACCCUCGAGGAAGGACAUCACCCACAGAAGAAGCACCGGCUAACUCCGUGCCAGCAGCCGCGGUAAUACGGAGGGUGCGAGCGUUAAUCGGAAUUACUGGGCGUAAAGCGCGCGUAGGCGGUCUGAUAAGCCGGUUGUGAAAGCCCCGGGCUCAACCUGGGAACGGCAUCCGGAACUGUCAGGCUAGAGUGCAGGAGAGGAAGGUAGAAUUCCCGGUGUAGCGGUGAAAUGCGUAGAGAUCGGGAGGAAUACCAGUGGCGAAGGCGGCCUUCUGGACUGACACUGACGCUGAGGUGCGAAAGCGUGGGUAGCAAACAGGAUUAGAUACCCUAGUAGUC
rnacentral:rRNA from 1 species